rnacentral:rRNA from 1 species
GACGAACGCUGGCGGCGUGCCUAAUACAUGCAAGUAGGACGCAGUUGCGAACGGGUGAGUAACGCGUAGGUAACUACCUAUUAGAGGGGGAUAAAUAUUGGAAACGAUAGCUAAUACCGCAUACUAGUAGAUGGACCUACGUUGUAUUAGCUAGUAGGUAGGGUAAUGGCCUACCUAGGCAACGAUACAUAGCCGGGCUGGGAGGGGGGUCGGCCAACCUGGGAAGGGGACACGGGCCCGACUCCUAAGGGAGGCAGCAGUAGGGAAUCUUCGGCAAUGGGGGGAACCCUGACCGAGCAACGCCGCGGUGGUGAAGAAGGGUUUCGGAUCUUAAAGCUCUGUUGUUAAGGAAGCGGUACUUAACCAGAAAGGGACGGCUAACUACGUGCCAGCAGCCGCGGUAAUUC